GUAUUUGAUUGUGAUUUGUUGCAUUUUUUUUAUAUAAUAGUAUUCUGAUUUGAAGUUGUUUUUUUAACUUUAUUAUACGAAACCGUAUAUCCAACAAAAUACUUAUUUGAUGCAUCAAUUGUUUAGAUAAGUAAUAAUGUUCAAAUUAUUUGUUUUACGAUUGUAACUUUAUUGUUUUAUAUUCUUUAUACAAGUUAAUGAUAAUGUCAUUAAUUUUGUUAUUUAGUAUUGACUUUUUUUAAACUAUAAAGCAUAUAUGGGGAGCAUUAGUUUUAUAAUAAAUCAUUCUAAACAUUGAACUGAAGAUAAAUGCUAGAUUAAUUACACAACUGAGGCAAUUAUGAUUAAAAAAUAUGCAUCGUAUAAAGAUUUAGUUGAUGAAGUUGCUAAUCAGAUUGAGGUAGAUUUGAGGUAUAACAGAAUGAAACUUAAGUAUAAAAUUGAAGGUAGCAUUGCACCUUUGGAGAUACACAACGAUAUGGGAAUGAAGGUAUAUGUUUCGUUGAAGAAAGAAGUUCGAGAAUUCGCAAAGUACUCCAUUUGUGUAAUUGUAUUUGUGAAUGAUCGUGAUAUAAAUUGUAGAAAUCAUUAUGAAAAAGAUAUUGGCAUGUGUAUGAUAAACGGAAGAAGUACUACUGAUAACCAAGCAAUAGUUAUUAGUGCACCCUUAAACAGUGAUGAGUUAAGUAACUCUAUUAUCUGCAAUAUGAAUCAUAAAGAAGUCAUUGAGGAUCAAGUUUAUAAGAAUAAACGUACUUUGAAAGCUGUGAUGAUGAAAUAUGCCAUUGAUAAUAGAUUUCAUGGAAGACAGAAAGAUCAAGUUUAGUAAGUUAUACACUUGUUUGUGUAUCUGAAAAUUAUGGAUGGAUAAUGAAGGUUUCCAAACACCAAUAAAUCGGGAAUGUUUAGAAUUAACAAGUUUGUAGAUGAGCAUACAUGUUCAUUAAAAGAUAAGGUGUAUAGUUAGACACAAGCAACAAGCAGUCUUGUUGGAGGUAUAAUAAAUCCCAAGCUAGUUAAUCAUAAAAGAAAGUUGACACCGAAAGACAUACAAGUUGAUGUUAGACUCGAACUUGGUGUAGAUGUAUCCUACUCUGUGGCAUGGAAUGCUAGGGAAAAGGCAAUAAAUACAUUAAGGGGGACACCAUCUGAUUCAUAUAGUAAAUUACCCAGUUAUUUAUACAUAUCAGACACCACUUAUCCUGGAUCACAUAUUGAAGAAGACGGAAGAAAAUGAAUUUCUAUAUGUCUUUAUAGCUUUGUUUUCUUUCAUAAAAGGUUUUGAAAGUUGUAAGCAAAUAGUUGUAGUAGACGGCAGCCAUCUCAGGGGGACUUAUAAUGACACAUUUGUGUCUGCAAGCACAUUGGAUGGAGCAGGAAAUAUAUUGCCCCUAGCAUACGGUGUUAUUGAUUCGAAAAUGAUGCAUCUUGGACUUAGUUUUUUGAACAGUUUAAAGAAGCUCAUGGUUUGAAGGAUAAAAUGUGUGUUGUAUCCGACAGAAACCAGAGUAUUAUAAAAGCAGUUUCGAGGAUAUACAAUAUACCAGAUUAUGCUUGCACGCUUCAUCUUUGGAAGAACGUGAAGACACUUUACAAAAAGUCACAUGACAGUCUUUCAAGAAGUGUUUUAUGCAAUGGAAAAGGCAUACAAACUUUCUGAAUUUAAUGAAAUGAUGAAAAAAGUAGAACAUGUUGAUAUUGGGGUGAAGAAUUAUUUGGAAUUGGUUGAUUAUGACAAAUGGGCAAGAGUGUAUGCACCAGUUGAUCAUGCCUUGUGGAAGCAAGAGAAUUACCUAUAUAUGAUUUUCUUGAGGAAAUUAGACAAAUGUUUGUUCGAUGGAAUUUCAAAAAUCAUACAUCUGCUUCUAAUACAUUCACGACACUUUGUGGUAAAGCACAAGAAAUGCUCGCUGAAAAUGAAUAACUUUCGCUGUGUAUGACGGUAGUUGCGACAAGUAAUUAUGUGCACAAUGUUCGUCAUAAAAGGGAAACAUUUAUUGUUUGUCUUGAAAAGAAAACUUGCACAUGUAGGAGAUUUCAAGUGGAUGAAAUACCAUGUUCGCACACUUGGGCUGUUUUAAAGAAGAAAUUUCUUGAUCCUGAACCGUAUUGUUAUGACCUUUACAAGUCAAAUACAUUACUUGUUAUAUAUGCUAAUCCAAUAAAUCCAUUACCUGAUCGAAAAGAUUGGAAUGUGCCUGCAUAAGUAGAGGAUGAAAUAGUUAAGCCUCCAAAGUUCAAAAAACUACCUGGUAGGCCUUGAAAAAAGCUUCGUGAUAAGACGUACAGUGAGCUAUAUGGAAAGAAGAAGAAGAAUUCUUGUAGUACUUGUGAUCAAAAGGGACAUAAUAGGCGAUCAUGCAGGAAUGUACCACGAACUAAAUAGUUAGAUAUGUUUGAAUUUGUUUUGAAAAAUAAAUUUACAUGUGUUCGUACAAAUCGUUUAUCCUUGUAAUUGAUGUUUUCAUAAUGUUCAAUGAAUAAUAUUUUAUCAAAAUA